rnacentral:piRNA from 1 species
UUGGGAUAGUUCAACGGAACA